UUGACGGGGCCGCACAAGCGGUGGAGCAUGUGGUUUAAUUCGACGCAACGCGAAGAACCUUACCAGGGCUUGACAUCCCCUGACCGCGUAUGAAAGUACGUUUUCACCCUCGGGUGACAGGGAGACGGGUGGUGCAUGGUUGUCGUCAGCUCGUGUCGUGAGAUGUUGGGUUAAGUCCCGCAACGAGCGCAACCCCUACGUUUAGUUGCUAACGCGUGAAGGCGAGCACUCUAGACGAACUGCCGUUGACAAAACGGAGGAAGGUGGGAUGACGUCAAAUCAUCAUGCCCCUUAUGUUCUGGGCUACACACGUGCUACAAUGGCCGGUACAGACGGACGCAAAGCCGCGAGGUGGAGCAAAUCCUAAAAAGCCGGUCUCAGUUCGGAUUGCAGGCUGCAAUUCGCCUGCAUGAAGUCGGAAUCGCUAGUAAUCGCAGGUCAGCAUACUGCGGUGAAUACGUUCCCGGGCCUU
rnacentral:rRNA from 1 species